AGCCACUGCCAGUCUCAACAUUUGUUUGUUUUCAUGCAUGUCCGUGUUUUAAGAGGCAGCCCGGGGAUUAAUACCGUCCAGAAACUGUGGUGCAAGCUCAGUUAGGCAAUUCCACAAAAAUCUUCAGAGUACUUACUCGUCAUUAAAGGCAACAAUUGAGCCCCUGCCUGCUGCUGGUUUCGUUCCCUUUCCUCCUGCUUCAGCCAUCACAUGGUGACUUUCCUGCACAACAGAAAACUGAAUGCCCACAGGUUUUUCCACGCACAGGCAGCAGAGAACAACUGCCUCUACUCUGCUUUUACAGUUCUCAAGACAGAUGACCCAAAAUGUGCAGAACCUCCUGGAUACAAGAACAUGAAAAACUAAACCAAAGAAAGUUGUUUCAUUUUCCCCCCACUCCUUCCUGAUGCUGAGCCUUCCACAGCACUUACACCUCUAUGUGCAAAGGUAAGAAGUAAGAAGGAAGAGGCUUUAAAAGAAACCACCUUAACACCUCCUUUCUUACAGAAGAGAAGCCAACAUAAAACAAAGGGCAGCAGAAGUAAAAGUGAGGCCAUCGGCAGCUUGCUGGCCAAAUGUCCACAUGACUGCAGACCCAGUAUGCUGCACUAAACCAUGGGUUAAUUAGAAACAGGAGUCUCUCCUCUAUUCCUAUUUUUGAAGGAAAUCUUCAUCAGCACAAAGACAGCAAUGCAGAAGUCCUGUCUCCUCGGUGGGAGCAUGUAUCCAGGACUACAUUGAUCCAAGACACAGAUGUGACCUACUCGAGUAAAUUACCAGGAAAAAAAAAAUCAAAACAUUUCACACUUCAUUUUGUGCACAUCAGUCCAUCUGGACUUCAUCAGCUAGCCAAAAUUCAGUCACAAAGGUUAUUUCUAUUACAAAGAGAAAUUGAUGACAGAAUUGAGUGUAUCUUUGAUACAAACCCAUCUGCUUACAUACAACACAGCAUCCUUUCACCUGCUACAAUGUAAGAACAAAUGAUCUGAUCUUUUUCCUUGGUAGUCACUUAAAUUUAGCCAGCACAAUAUCUGAACCCUUCGUUAUUUUCUCCUUAGAAACACACUCCUACUCCUACAUUUGGAUGUUUCUCUCUAGUCAGCAUGAUUUUCCGUGGCUUGUUUCACUGGUUCUUAUGUCACAUAUAGACAACUCCAGCAGUCACUAGCUAUCUUGUAUUUUCUUUAUAGGUUUCCAGGGAAAACCCCUUAUAUCAUAGAGUUAAGAGUUUUUUUCAUGUAGUUCUCAUCUUGUAAUUCUGCUUUGGUUGUGACCCUGUUAUUUCCUGUUAUAUAUGGAACUACCUGGUUCCAUAUUGACUUUAAACUCUUCUAAAUACUUACUUUGCCCACAAGUUUCAGUGAAUUUUACCCAGUUCAUAAUAGCAUCUCUUCAGUUCCACCCAGUCUUCCAAACCAAAAUGGCCACAACUGAACCCUUUCAGCCCAGAAAGAGAAAUGCUUUAAUAAAACUACUAGUUAUACUGCAAACAGUGGCUGUCAAGGAUACUCUUAUAUUUCAGCCCCUCCAAAAAAGUCAGUUUCCAGCCAUGAUUCCUUGUGAUUUUUCAACUGUCUGUAUUAAACCUGCCCAUCAAAAGGGAGAUGUAAUUCCUCAUGCUCUCCAUCAAGUGCAGAUAGCCUCUGCUGGAUGCAAAUGAUGAAUCGAUUUCCCAAAUAUUUGUUAUCUAGACAGGAGAAUGGAGUUCAUACAGGCACCCUCCUAAUCUUGGGGGUUAAAUCUGCCAAACUAGCUUAAACAACCUUUAAAUAGAAAC